rnacentral:rRNA from 1 species
UACGUAGGGGGCAAGCGUUAUCCGGAUUUACUGGGUGUAAAGGGAGCGUAGACGGCCAGACAAGUCUGAAGUGAAAAUCCAGCGCUUAACGCUGGAAGUGCUUUGGAAACUGCCGGGCUGGAGUGCAGGAGGGGCAGGCGGAAUUCCUAGUGUAGCGGUGAAAUGCGUAGAUAUUAGGAGGAACACCAGUGGCGAAGGCGGCCUACUGGACGGUGACUGACGCUGAGGCUCGAAAGCGUGGGGAGCAAACAGG